GGCCGGCUGGCGCAAUGGUAGCGCUUCAGACUUCUACCUUCUCUUCGGGAGACGUGGUUAUCUGGAGGUUGUGGGUUCGAGCCCCACGUUGGUCA
rnacentral:tRNA from 1 species